GACGAACGCUGGCGGCGUGCUUAACACAUGCAAGUCGAACGGAAAGGCCCUGCUUUUGUGGGGUGCUCGAGUGGCGAACGGGUGAGUAACACGUGAGUAACCUGCCCUUGACUUUGGGAUAACUUCAGGAAACUGGGGCUAAUACCGGAUAGGAGCUCCUGCUGCAUGGUGGGGGUUGGAAAGUUUCGGCGGUUGGGGAUGGACUCGCGGCUUAUCAGCUUGUUGGUGGGGUAGUGGCUUACCAAGGCUUUGACGGGUAGCCGGCCUGAGAGGGUGACCGGCCACAUUGGGACUGAGAUACGGCCCAGACUCAUACGGGAGGCAGGAGUGGGGAAUAUUGCACAAUGGGCGGAAGCCUGAUGCAGAAACGCCGCGUGCGGAUGACGGCCUUCGGGUUGUAAACCGCUUUCGCCUGUGACGAAGCGUGAGUGACGGUAAUGGGUAAAGAAGCACCGGCUAACUACGUG
rnacentral:rRNA from 1 species